AAUUGGCAUUGAAGCUCAGAGCAAUUGCACAGGUCAUCUACAUUCCUCAAUUCUUUUGCUAAUUCCCAUGGAGGAGAUCUUUUAUGUUGUGAUAAUUGCCCAAGAGCUUUUCACACAGUGAGAAGGACUUUGAUGAAGUAUUGCAGUCACAAACUGUUUAUUCAAAUGUUUCGAAGGGGGUUCUUGCCAAGUCAAAAGAUUUAGUAGCAGCUUUUGGGACAGAUGAUCAGACAAAUAUAUGCUUGGAGAUUUUGGACAAAGGAGAGCUACAAGUUGCUGGAAAGGAAAGGGAUUCUCAAUUAUCGAGUCAGUUUCGGAUAUUGCUACCAUAGUUAUGCAGAAGACUAUUAACCCGGAGACUCAACGCCCUUAUACUAUUAGCAUGAUUGAGCGUCUGAUGCAUGAAAUCCAUUUUGCGGUUGAUCCCCAUAGUAGCUCAAAAAAACAGGUGAGUUCAUUUGUUUGGUUGUAGAUUGACAAGAGAUUUAUGG